rnacentral:ncRNA from 1 species
AAAGAACUUGGUUCUGAUUUUUGAGCUUAGGUAGGAAAAGGAUUAUAUAUGUGAGCUGUUUAGCGAAACGGUGAGGAAAUACAAUAUUAAAGAUUUUUUUUAAAAAAAGUUUUUUUAUAAAAAUAUUUAUAUUAAUUUAUUCUUUUGAGAAAAAUAAUGGUUAUAAAAUGCUUCACAUCUGCAGUAAUAAAUACUUGAACAAUAAUUGUAAGAUUGAUUAGGUUAGUUUUUUUUUGGGAGGACGAAAAUAUCGUGCCAGCAGUCGCGGUUAAACGAAUAUUCUCUAUUUAGGUCAUUAGUAGCUUAAUACAAUGAAAUUUAGUAUAAAGGAUUUUUAAGAGGAGAAGUUUAGGAGUGAAAACCUAUUUUUCUUUGAAGAAUUAAAACAAAAAAUUGAUUUUGACAAAUUAAAGGUGGAGACCUGGAUUAGAUACCCAGUUAUUCUUUAUUAAAACUAUUAAAUGCUGGUGGAGUACGAAGAAUUUUUUUAAAUACAAAGAACUUGGCGGUUAUCUAUUUCUGAUCAGGGGAGUUUGCUUGAAGAAAAUGAUAACCCACGUUAUACCUGACCUAUUUUUGUAAUUUCAGUUUUUAUAUCAUCGUCAUUAAGUUUUCAUUGUAAGUUAGAAGACUAAUAAACUAAAUUAUAAAGGUUAGAUGUCAGAUCGAGAUGAAGCUAAUAAGUAGGGGAGAGUGAGCUACAAUAAUAAUUAAUUAAAGAUUUGGAGUUAAUAAUAAAAGGUAUUAAUAAAAGAGGACUUGAUAGUAAUAAAAUAAAAGAAAGAUUUUAUGAAAUUAGCUCUAGAUUUCGUACACAUCGCCCGUCACCUGUGGGAUUAAACCUAGAGUAAGUCGUAACAUAGUAGGUGUACCGGAAGGUGUGGCCUAGGCA